rnacentral:rRNA from 1 species
GACGAACGCUGGCGGCGUGCUUAACACAUGCAAGUCGAACGGAAAGGCCCUGCUUUUGUGGGGUGCUCGAGUGGCGAACGGGUGAGUAACACGUGAGUAACCUGCCCUUGACUUUGGGAUAACUUCAGGAAACUGGGGCUAAUACCGGAUAGGAGCUCCUGCUGCAUGGUGGGGGUUGGAAAGUUUCGGCGGUUGGGGAUGGACUCGCGGCUUAUCAGCUUGUUGGUGGGGUAGUGGCUUACCAAGGCUUUGACGGGUAGCCGGCCUGAGAGGGUGACCGGCCACAUUGGGACUGAGGUACGGCCCAGACUGCUACGGGGGGCAGCAGUGGGGAAUAUUGCACAAUGGGCGGAAGCCUGAUGCAGCAACGCCGCGGGCGGGAUGACGGCCUUCGGGUUGUAAACCGCUUUCGCCUGUGACGAAGCGUGAGUGACGGUAAUGGGUAAAGAAGCACCGGCUAACUACGUG